GGUAUCAGUCACGAGAAAUUUCCAGGAAAUUUCCAGGACAAGCAUUUCCGUGGGGGUGCGAGGGAUUAUGGGUAGCGUGGCGGAAGUGCAGCAUUAGGGAGGUAACGGGCUACGACCAGAGAUGCGUAAAUUAACCCGGAAGCAAUUGGACGGGAGCAGAGGUGAACGGAAUAGAGCGGAAGUGAGUGUGUAGGGACCGGAAAUCGGCUGGGACACGGCGCUGGAUUUGCCGCUCUCUGGGGCCAUGCCGCUGCGCGCUGUGUAUCUCCUGAGCGCCCCCGGUCCCCGCGGCCGGCCCCGCACCUACGUGGGAUUCACGCACGACCCGUGGCGGCGACUGCGGCAGCACAACGCGGGGCGGCAGAAGGGUGGGGCGCGGCGCACGAGCGGCCGCGGGCCGUGGCAGAUGGAGCUCUACGUGCACGGCUUUCCGUCCGACGUAGCGGCGCUCCGGUUCGAGUGGGCGUGGCAGCACCCCGCCGCUUCCCGCCGCCUCCAGGAUGCCAAGCCCCGCCCCCUUCCCGGCGAGCAGCCAAUCGCUUUCGCGCUUCGUAUGCUGCCCUGCCUGCUCUGGGCCCCGCCCUGGCGCCGCCUCCCACUGCGCCUGCGCUGGCUCCGCUUCCCUCCAGGCCCCGCCCUCCGCCCGGCCCCACCCCCUCACAUCGUUAUGGAAAUCGACCCGGGAGGGCCGAGGCCACGCCCCAGGAAGCGGCCCGCGAGCACUUUGGCCACGCCCCCUACGUGCACGCUGUGUUCGGAGCCCUGCGAGGGCCCCACUCUCCGCUGUCCCCACCCCCCCUGCCCUGCCCGCUGCCAUGCCCGCUGCCUUGCCCCACACUUCCUGGGGGCGGAGCCAAAGGAACUGCUUCCACUGGGCGGGACCUGCCCCAGGAGGUGCUGUGGGGAGAGCUGAUUGGCUGCGGGGAUGGCGACGAUGAAUGGGUGGAGCUGGGAGACCCUACCUUGGGCCAUUGGACGGAUGAGCUGCUGCAGGGCCAGCAGGCGGAACCUGAGUGAAGCCACCUCUCCCUCUGUUGCUUUCUAACUUAAUUUAUUCCCAAUAAAGCAAUGGCUGGAAUUGCUCCCAGCACCAUU